rnacentral:rRNA from 1 species
ACUGUCCUACGGGGCGCAGCAGUGGGGAAUAUUGGGCAAUGGGCGCAAGCCUGACCCAGCAACGCCGCGUGAAGGAAGAAGGCUUUCGGGUUGUAAACUUCUUUUGUCAGGGACGAAGCAAGUGACGGUACCUGACGAAUAAGCCACGGCUAACUACGUGCCAGCAGCCGCGGUAAUACGUAGGUGGCAAGCGUUAUCCGGAUUUAUUGGGUGUAAAGGGCGUGAAGGCGGGAAAGAAAGGCAGAUGUGAAAACUAUGGGCUCAACCCAUAGCCUGCA